AGAGCGCCGAGCGCAUCGAAUAAAACUCGGAGCCUGCUGAGCGCGGGAGCUGGCACUUAUUUAUUGAGAAUUUGCUAUGUCCCAGCCUUGCCCUAGAAGCUUACAAACAUUAUUUCACUUAAUCCUCACUGUAUUCCUGUCGCAUUUUGCAGAAGAGAACCAGGCUGAGAGAAGUUAAGUGACGUGCCCAAGGAUACACAGCUCUCUGCAUGUGACACGCUGACUCCCCUUCUGCCAUGAUUGUAAGUUUCGUCACUAGAAGCAGAUGCCGACACUAUGCUUCAUGUACAGCCUGCAGAACUGUGAGCCAAAAUAAUAUUUAAAAAUGCGAAGAUAUUUCAAAGUACAAACAUCCAUGUACCCACCACCCAG
rnacentral:lncRNA from 1 species